UCUGUCGCUUCAUUUCUGUUGGCCGGACUGUGAACUCAACUCAGUACUGCCGCUUUCGUCCUCUGAGGCUUCUCCUUCUCGGCCUCUCUCUCUCUCUCUCUCUCUCUCUCUCUCUCGCUCUUCACCAAUAUUACUUCAGCUUCUGAAGGCUUUUCCAUUUCAGAUCAAGCUAUGGAAGCCGACGAGGCCGACCGUGUCUUUCCAUUUCAGCUCCAAUUCGACAAGCAUAUUGCCUCUCAGGUUGAAAUUGCCGAGUGGAAACCGGAAAGGAUUUGCUAGCCAUUGUCACAGAAGACUUGGGAGUUUUGCUCCACCGCGGCGGAGGUUGCGGACUAUAUCACCUGGGAAGAUGUUGACAGAGUAAGAGAUUUGGUUGGGAUUCAAAGAUUGUGAAUUUUUAUUAAGGACACUUGGUAUGGAGUUUCAGCAGAUGGACUCUAGGCAUUCCCUCUCUUCCAUUCAAUUGGUCUGUCCCCAGCAGGAAGGAAAGGAAUUCUAAGCAUCUUCUUGGUGUAUCCGCUGCAAGAGAAUGGGUUUCAAAGAAGCUUUUCUUAUGCCCUUAAGUACAAUCUGAAGGACAAUACUUCGUGAAGAUCUUGUUGUCCCUUUUCCCCUUUCAAUCCUCGUGUCAAGCUGCUCGUCUUCCAGUGUUCUUCAUUUGGUGUCGUACUAUGAGGCUCUUUUGGUUCCUGUAUGAUGGUUGUGCAAGCAGAUGACCUUACGUUUGUAUCUAUGCCAAGAUCUCCGUCUGGACAGUUGGAAGGUCCAACAACUCAAGGCUGUGCUUCUUAUCCUUUGCAAGAAGUUGGGAUGUUGAUGCCUGUGGCUUGUCAAUGGGAUCAAUUUCUUCGUCACGACGUACCUCACUUGUUGUCACAGUGACUUUGAUGUUUCCACUGUCAUACAUUGUUGUCUCUACAGAAAGGACCAAAAGCACGUUUGGAUCAAAAUAAUACGACAUGUAUCUCUAUAACAUAGAUGACACUUCCAGUGUUUGAUUAUUGGAAGCCUCUUCCAAGAUUCAGAGUUUCUCAAUGAAUGCAUAUCAUUAUCAAUGUUAUCAACUUCCAAGUUAUUUUUCAUAUAUAACCCGACUUUUAGCUUCCCUGUGAAAAGAAUAAUAUCUGAUCUGAUUUUUUAA